UGCUAGAAAACAGAUGUGAUAUUUACAAGCAUGUAUCUGAUUGCUUUUUUGUGGAAAUAUGACUAUUUCUGAGUUUUCUGGAG
ensembl:snoRNA